rnacentral:rRNA from 1 species
AUUGAACGCUGGCGGCAGGCCUAACACAUGCAAGUCGAGCGGCAGCGGGAAAGUAGCUUGCUACUUUUGCCGGCGAGCGGCGGACGGGUGAGUAAUGCCUGGGAAAUUGCCCAGUCGAGGGGGAUAACAGUUGGAAACGACUGCUAAUACCGCAUACGCCCUACGGGGGAAAGCAGGGGACCUUCGGGCCUUGGGCGAUUGGAUAUGCCCAGGUGGGAUUAGCUAGUUGGUGAGGUAAUGGCUCACCAAGGCGACGAUCCCUAGCUGGUCUGAGAGGAUGAUCAGCCACACUGGAACUGAGACACGGUCCAGACUCCUACGGGAGGCAGCAGUGGGGAAUAUUGCACAAUGGGGGAAACCCUGAUGCAGCCAUGCCGCGUGUGUGAAGAAGGCCUUCGGGUUGUAAAGCUCUUUCAGCGAGGAGGAAAGGUUGAUGCCUAAUACGUAUCAACUGUGACGUUACUCGCAGAAUAAGCACCGGCUAACUACGUGCCAGCCGCCGCCGUAA